GGAUGAGAUUUGUUCCGAGAGGAUAGGAAAUCUGGGAGGAACUCGGAUCAAGCUUGGAUGCAAGGCUGUUUCGCUAGUAGGAGGGCGCGGAUCCGGAAACUGAAGAUAAGAUAGCUGGGAGAAGGUGAUCCGGAAACAGAGGAUGUUGAUGGUUGUUGGGAACGGAACUGGGAGCUGAUUUCCGUGGAAUCUGGGGUGCAUGCGGAGGCUU
rnacentral:lncRNA from 1 species